rnacentral:misc_RNA from 1 species
GGAAGAUUUAGAAUACACUAUGUUUGAUAUGAGAGUGUGGAGUGAAAUAUACAUUUAUCUUAACACAUACUAAGUACUUGAUUUUCACACAUAUAUAUACAUAUACAUAAUGUUCAAGCUGAUAGUUGUAAGUUGUGAUUCUACUGAACCACUCUAGAUUUACUGUAAACCUUUCACAAGAGGCACUUUUUCCUGGUUUAUAUCCACAUGCCUAGCCAAAGUAGAGGCUCCUCCAGCCUUUACUAACAACUCACUGAAUCCAAUCUGAGAUUUUAAGAAGAAUAGAUAGUACCUGUAUAUUUACAUGUAUUCAGCUCCAAUGUUCAUUCUCAUGAAGCGCUAAACUUUUU